CAGUAUCACAAUAACUUUGUUAAUGGCUUCAAGAGAAACGAUGUUAAUGGCUUGGAUUCUGUGGCACAGCUUCAUAAUGAACUGCAUAGCGGGCACGUUUUCAAUGGAUGGAGAGAAGGGGUCAUAGGCUUUCCUCCUACCUACAAGUAUGAAAUGAAUUUUGAUAGAUAUGUUGGCGAGAACCCUAAAGAAGGGGAGAAGAAGAGAUCUCCAGCAUGGUAAGUAUGAGUUUCUACAAAAGUACCCGGACAAGAAACCUAUGUUGCUCUGGCUCUUAUUUUUCCAUAUCUUGACAUGAGUACUGAGAUAUAACCCUCUGAAAACCCUUUACAAACAGGAAAAAGCUAAGAAAAAGUGAACAUCCUUGUGUUGGACACAUAAAGUGUCCAACAUUCACACUCAAAUCUGAGUAAUUUAGCAAGAAACCAGAUAUAAGAGUUUCGCAAAGUUUCUGAAAGCACAACAAACCUGGCACAGUGGUAACUGAUAAUUAAUUAAGUUCUGUAUAUGCUUACCUUGGUAGGUGUGAUCGUAUACUCUGGUAUGGUAAAGGCAUAAAACAACUUUCUUAUCAACGAGCAGAAAUAAGACUCUCUGAUCAUCGACCUGUCAGUUCAAUGUUUUUACUCGAAGUUGAAGUAUUGGACCAUCGGAAGUUGC
rnacentral:lncRNA from 1 species